ACUUAACUAGAAGUUUACUUUUAGAGCGGUUAGUGGCGGACUGGUGAGUAACACGUAAGCAAUCUACCUAUUAGAGGGGAAUAACAAUGAGAAAUCAUUGCUAAUACCGCAUAUGCCAUAAUUAUCACAUGAUAAUAGUGGGAAAAGAGUAAUCUGCUAAUAGAUGAGCUUGCGACUGAUUAGCUAGUUGGAGUGGUAAUGGCACACCAAGGCAACGAUCAGUAGCCGGAUUGAGAGAUUGAACGGCCACAUUGGGACUGAGAUACGGCCCAGACUCCUACGGGAGGCAGCAGUCGGGAAUAUUGCGCAAUGGAGGAAACUCUGACGCAGUGACGCCGCGUAUGGGAAGAAGGUUUUCGGAUUGUAAACCAUUGUUGGAGGGGAAGAAACAAGACAGUACCCUCAAAGAAAGCUCCGGCUAACUACGUGCCAGCAGCCGCGGUAAUACGUAGGGAGCGAGCGUUAUCCGGAUUUAUUGGGUGUAAAGGGUGCGUAGACGGGAGUCUAAGUUAGUUGUGAAAUCCCUCGGCUUAACUGAGGAACUGCAACUAAAACUGGAUUUCUUGAGUGCAGGAGAGGUAAGUGGAAUUCCUAGUGUAGCGGUGAAAUGCGUAGAUAUUAGGAGGAACACCAGUGGCGAAGGCGACUUACUGGACUGUAACUGACGUUGAGGCACGAAAGUGUGGGGAGCAAACAGGAUUAGAUACCCUGGUAGUCCACACCGUAAACGAUGGAUACUAGGUGUAGGGGAUAUUAAGUCCUCUGUGCCGUCGCAAACGCAGUAAGUAUCCCACCUGGGGAGUACGGCCGCAAGGUUGAAACUCAAAGGAAUUGACGGGGGCCCGCACAAGCAGUGGAGUUU
rnacentral:rRNA from 1 species